rnacentral:lncRNA from 1 species
CGCCCUGACUCCCUGGACACCGUUCCCUUGGAGCCUCGGAGCCCCCCCUGGUGUCCCCUGGGUGAUGGUCCUGGACAAGAGGGCUGGGAAGAAGCGGGCAGCAAGGGGAGGAUUCUGCCCCAGACGUCCCCAGGCCGGGGGUCCCCAUGGGCUCUGCCCUGACGUCUUACUCCUGCACCCAGCGGCUCCCACCACAGAGACUGCUCCAGUUGCAGGUUAGACCCCACUUGCGGUUGUGUGUUCCAGAAGUCUCCGGGCGCUGUGUGGCAGGAUGAGGAGCUGCCCCCCUGGAGGAUCACGCAGGCCUCUGGGUGGCAUUCAGCAGGGUUGGCUGCGGCACCGGCUGACCACAGGGCCCACCUUUCCAGUCCCGGCAGGAGAGAAGCGUCUCAACCAUGUUGCAGGCACACGGGUGAGGGUGCUGCCUGCCUCCCUGACUCUUACCUCCCCAAGAGAGGAAAACAAAAGAAAAAAA